UUUAAAAGGUUUUUGAAGUUUCAUAUUCUGUAACAAGGAAUCACCACAGCUUGCUUCAUCCUAAAAAUGCAAAUCAAGAGAAAUAAGAGUGGUGAAACACUAACACAGCAAACAGUUAAAUGGCUAAAUUCUGUGCAAAACUUGUGAGGCUUGCUGCCAUGGGAUGUUACAGAGGGAAGUUUCUUUUUAAGGAAGACCUGCUUUCCAUCUUUUUUCAGGACAGCAGAGCGUGGUGAGGGUGACUGCACCCCAGGCUCUCAGCCAGGGUCCAGGUCUCUUUCUUUCCACAUUGUGGUUUCCCAUGUGCAGGCAGUGAUAAUUCAGCAUCAUGAAAAAACAUAAAUUGUCAGAUAGGCAAUACUGAGAUGAAAGGAACAUUAUCUUUUACGGCUGGCCAAGACUCUGAACUUUUAUGGCUUUCUACAAGAAGUAACCAGAGAUGACAGAACUAUUCUUGCACUUUUCUAAUUUCUAUUCCAAUUUACUAUAAGCUUGGUGUGAUAAGACCAAAAAUGUGUUUUAGCUGUGGGCAGGUUUUAAGACCACAUUGUUCUAAACCCCUGAAAAAUCAGGAUUCUUGAUAGAAACUGUGAUAAACCCCAAAGUCUGACUGUAUUAGUAGGAGAAGCUAUCAUAUAGAAAGUUUAAUAAAGAUUUCAAAUAUUCCUUCUGUGUCCUAAAGCCAUUAUUCACUGCUAAAGGACUGUAAAUCUUGAAAAGCCUUGGAAGGCUUUAAUUUGAAAUAUAUAUAUAUAUAUAUAUAUAAAUAUAUAUAUAUAAAUUAUUUAGUUCUAAACCAAUCAAGAAAUUUAAUACCAAAAAAUAAAUUCUGUCUUUAGCCUGUCCCUAGCUUUAAAAUAUGAAACACACUUAAAUAAGAAAGGUGGAUAUUUAAAUACAUCUGCCAUACUCCAACAGUACAUCAAAGUCCUCCAUGUGAAGCUAACUAGAGGGGCUGUCCAUUAGAGAAGAUAUGGUCCAGCAACUCAAUAAAUAGAUGCAGGAGGAGUAAGGUCUGUUCCUAGUCUCACAGAUAACUCAUGUACUGUGCUAGCAAAUUAAUUUUCCUCUUUUAAAGUCAAUUUUGUCCUUUCACUCUGCUGUGUACUCCUUUGGGCGAGGCAAUGUCUCUGGGCUGAGGUGUGCAGGGAGAGAUUUCCCAGUUCCCUGAAGCUGCUGGAGCAGAAAUGGGAUGUCUCUGCACUCAUCUGCAUCAGCCACUUUGAGGCUGCUCUGGCUUUGUGCAUUUCCUUCUCCUGCUCUUCUUGAGAGCAAUGCAGGAAGCUGGUGAUGGCUUGGGUUUGAGGUAUAUUCACAUCUGGCUUGGAGAAAUUCCUAACAGAAAGAAAAAUAAUUAAAAAAUCCUGGUGAUUGUGAUUUCCAGGUUCAUACUUAGUUUAAGGGAUCUGAAGUCUAAGGAUUGCCCCUGCUUGGGAAGAAGCCCCACAGCAGAGGACUCACGAGUUUGUGAGUCCUGUGGUCUUUGCCAAGCACAAGAGAAGGGAGGAUUUCAACCUGGGGGAAACUGUGCUGAUGGAUUGCAAGCACGUCACCAGGAACACGUGUAAAAAUAGCCCAGGCACAAAGAAAAUCAGGCGAUGUUGGCAGUCACUGCUGGGGAGAAGAACUGUCCAAGUCCUCAGACUGUUUUCCUCCUCAGCACAGAGGCUGUGGUGACAGCCUCGCCUGGUGCUCCUCACACUGGAACGCACAAGCAGCAUGUGGGAAGGGAAAAUGACCUCCAGCAAGGAUGAGACCCUCUGGCUCCAAGGAGACAGCACUGAUUCCCCACCCCAAGAGGAUUUGGCCCAUCCUACCCAGCACGGAGGGGGAAACCAAAACACACAUCCCUUGGAUGGCUGGAGCUCAAGCCACCAUUUGCCUGUCUGGAGCAGGAUAAUUUGUCAGACACCAGCUGCUGCACGCUCUGUCCUCUUGGGCACACUUGUUAUUGUGUUACAGCCUGCCUGAAGAAUGUGGGAUGUCGUGGAAAGGAAAACGACUGCAACCUUGCUUGCUCAAAUAAUCUGAGGGCUUUUUUUAUAUUUUUUUUCUUCUUUCUCCCCACUGUGAGAGCCUCUGCCAUGCACGGUGUGUUCGUAAAGUGCCAGCCAGGGCUAGGAAGGGAAAAGGGGGGUGGGGGAAAGAAAAAGCAGAGGGAGAAGAAGGAGAAGAAGAGGGAAAAGCCAGGCUGGCAAUGCUGGGGAAGUGCUUUUGUGACCACACAAAGAGAUUUAAGACCGGAUGGAAGUGGUCCCCCCCGCUCACUCGCUCCCUUGCCGCGUCUCCUCUGUCUCUGAAAGAGUUACUCAGGAGGAUUUCAAGGUGUUGGUUUUGUCCUUUACAAAAUUAGUUCAAGGAGAUUUAUUGCUGGCAACAGGCACCGAGGACUGGCCUGGUGCUUUUCUGCAGAAGAUGAGACAGGGUGUUCCCAACCUCCGAGUGCCGCAGUUUGGCCAUCAGGAGAUGAGGUGGAGUUUGCUUUCUGGCUACUGCAGAGUGACCUUGGGAUACAUCCCUUCACCUCUCCCUGCCUGUCCCUCCUUGUCUCAGGACAGAGCUCUUGUAGGGAAGUCCUCCAGAGCUGGAGCUGGCUGUCACAGUGCGCAGCACAGCUCCUAGCACAGCAAAACGCAUUAUUUCAACAGGAUGGAGCAGCUGUUUGUAUAAGGAAUUAAUUAUACCCAUUGCUACCAGAUACGAGUCCUCCACACAUCAGUGAGGCAAAGAAACGUGGUCUUAAAGGAAAAGCAUCUGGGAGAGGACACAGGUAUGUGCCAGCUGCAAAGCCAGACAGGAGUGGGGCUCUGUUUCCUUCCACUCUGCCUUCCCGAUGUGUUUCAGCCAAAACUUGGGAAAAUAACCCCAGGGAGCAGGCUAUUUUGAGGCUUCUGGGCCGUGACUUUUCUGCUGUGAUUACCCUGGAGGCAUCUAAUUAGUAGCAGUAGGGCUGCCUUUUCUUUCUGAUCUCUGCAAGGAACCGUACUGAGAAGCUACCAACUCAUCUCACGCUGUACCCACAAGACCUGUACAAGCUCCCCAGACAGUUAGCUUUAUUUCUCCCGUGUCAACAAAAGUAGGAGAGAUCUGGGGGGUGGAGUAGAUGGACAGGAGGAGAGAGAAAGUGAUUCACAGGGAAAUAAUGUAUUCCUGCCAUACAUUCAGA